GAAGUCUCUUCAAGAGAAAAAUAAAAUUUUCCAGAACAUUUUCCAAGUAUAGUUGUCAUCAUUUCCUUAAAUCCACACUUGCCAAAUGAAUGUGACAGGGACAUAAUGCCAAUUAAAUACCCUGACAAAAGCGAUGUUUCAACUUAGCGAUGUCACGGGUCAUGCUGGGCAGUGUGGAGGUUCAUGACGGUGCGAGUCAGAACCACGGGCUGGCCUUUCGUCACCCUUCUCCUUUGGGGUUACACCAUGCAGCCCCUGGACUUCGAGAAUUAGGUGAAGCACACCUAAAAUCAAAUUGGUGAAAACUGUUACAAAGAGAAGAGUUUUAUAAUUUAUUGAACUACAUGGGCGCUAAGAUAACCUGGGAGGGGUCAGAACAAAACAUGAUCUGUGGGACCUGAGACACAGGGUCUCCCGGGACCACCGUCACUCAUUUCUUUUUAGAACAACGUAUUUUAAAGUACAAUUUAUUUAGUAUUUUUAUACUUAAUGUAUAGAAAACUCAGGUAGACACAGAUGGUUUUAAUGCCAUUUCACAUUUUAAUUCCAGCAUAUACUAUUUUUUCUUUUUUCUUAAAAAUUUUUAGAGGUCUUCUACUGAUCUGAGAUUACAGCAGAUACAGUGAGUGUUCUGGUCCUUUAGAUUCAGCUGAUUUUUUUUUUCCUUUUAAAAGUCUGCGUGAGGGAUCUUAUUGUU
rnacentral:lncRNA from 1 species